GACGAACGCUGGCGGCCGGCCUAACACAUGCAAGUCGAGCGGAGCGGCGGACGGGUGAGUAAUGCCUAGGAAUCUGCCUGUUAGUGGGGGAUAACGUCAGGAAACGGGCGCUAAUACCGCAUACUAUCAGAUGAGCCUCGGUCGAAUUAGCUAGGAGGUGGGGUAAAGGCCUACCAAGUCGACGAUCCGUACCUGGUCUGAGAGGAUGAUCAGUCACACUGGAAAUGAGACACGGGCCAGACUCCUACGGGAGGCAGCAGUGGGGAAUAUUGGACAAUGGGCGAAAGCCUGAGCCAGCCAUGCCGCGGGUGUGAAGAAGGUAUUCGGAUUGUAAAGCACUUGAAGUUGGGAGGCGUUACCAACAGAAUAAGCACCGGCUAACUUCGUGCCAGCAGCCGCGGUAAUAC
rnacentral:rRNA from 1 species